GAUGAAGAACGUAGCGAAAUGCGAUACGUAAUGUGAAUUGCAAAUUCAGUGAAUCAUCGAGUCUUUGAACGCACAUUGCGCCCCCUGGUAUUCCGGGGGGCAUUCCUGUCCGAGCGUCAUUGCUGCCCUCAAGCACGGCUUGUGUGUUGGGCCCCGUCCUCCGAUCCCGGGGGACGGGCCCGAAAGGCAGCGGCGGCACCGCGUCCGGUCCUCGAGCGUAUGGGGCUUUGUCACCCGCUCUGUAGGCCCGGCCGGCGCUUGCCGAUCAACCCAAAUUUUUAUCCAGGUUGACCUCGGAUCAGGUAGGGAUACCCGCUGAACUUAAGCAUAUCAAUAAGCGGAGGA
rnacentral:misc_RNA from 1 species